rnacentral:rRNA from 1 species
UACGUAGGGGGCAAGCGUUGUCCGGAAUCAUUGGGCGAAAGCGCGCGUAGGUGGCCCGGUAAGUCCGCUCUGAAAGUCAAAGGCUCAACCUUUGAAAGCGGGUGGAUACUGUCGGGCUAGAGUCCGGAAGAGGCGAGUGGAAUUCCUGGUGUAGCGGUGGAAUGCGCAGAUAUCAGGAGGAACACCAACGGCGAAGGCAGCUCGCUGGGACGGUACUGACACUAAGGCGCGAAAGCGUGGGGAGCGAACAGG